CCCCAAGUGCGAGCGAGACGGCUGGCCCCUCGCACUUUUGGAGAGUUCGCACCGCCGCGAGGUUACAAAAACCCCGUGUCGUCGUCGUUAGCUGGCAAGUCGCAAAGUGGAACGCAGAGGCGAUCGAGCUCAGUGGAAAGUCAGUGGAAAACAGUUAAAACGCGGUGCCAGGCCAGUCACUUUUUGUUCAGUGGCGAGGGCCCCUGGCGGCGGCAGCGGCAGAGGCACUUAUACCCUUGCCUACCUGUCGUGUUGGCCACGUUUGUGGCGAUCCGAUCAGUGCUCCGUCAGCCAGCGACGCGCACACACCGAACCGCUCUGGAAAGCAGCCCCACACCAUACCACCACUAUCAACAGAAGUGUUAGAUAAACUGAUAAUACUACGGAGCCAACAAAAGCACUAACGUGGCGUUAACUCUAUUAACUAAAGUUCACACACACGCACUCACACACGCACACACACAACCCAAACCCAACAAAACGGCAAUAAGCUGGCAAAAAAAAAAACAGUAAAGACUAUAACCCAAGUAAAACAAAAACGAGUCAGCGUCAGCGGCAAAGUGUCAAUAAAACUCUCGAAUUCAUUAACACAACUCAAAACGUUCUAUUAGUAAGCACUUGCAAAUUUCGACCAAACAAAAAGGAAAAAAGCUAAAGUUGAACGGAGAGACAGAGAUGGAGCGAGAGCCAAAAGGAGAGGGGACUAGUAGACACAAAUUAGCGUGGCCAACAGUCAAAAGGUCUAAUAGAAGCGCGUGUAAACGGGUAGAUAUGCGCCCGUAUACACCUCGUCGAGGCCCGAAAGCCAUGAUCGUAAAAACUACAUCAACUGCAACGCCACAAAAAAAAAGGCCACAAAAACCAGACGAGGCGGCCGCCAUGUCCUUGGCCUGUAAAAGGGCAGUGAAAUUCCUGGCACUCCAUAACAACAUCAUCAAAGGCCCAAGCGCGACUCCGAUUCCCAGGAGUCCUUUCAGCGGAACCGCGUUGCCGGUGGAGUACAGAAUUGCAGAAUUACAGAAUUACAGAAAUUCAGUGCCCCCCCGCUGAAGUCAGAAGUCAGCCGUCUCUAAGACUAAUGCCAUGGACUCGGUUACAAUUUGGACUCGUCUUGUCAAUCAGUUGGGAUCGAGUUGGGGCCUAGAACUGGAAAUGGCCAAGGAUGACCGGCGAGCGCUUCCUGUUUGGGUAAGUCGAUACUCGGACUAGGCUUUGGCUUAAUUAGCCACACGACAGAAGACAGAGGACUGAAGCCACACGACCCCGACCCGAGGUGACCUCAUAGCUGACGGACACUGCUAAUUUAUCAAAAAAUGGAAAGAAAAACUGAAAUAACUCUACGCAUAAUUAAAGCAAGACAAGACUAAAGAAAAAAAAAAACAAAACUAAACGAAACAAAACAGAAAGAUAGCCAAAUGCGUUUUUAAACCGUUGCGCAACGCCUCUUUCUAACAGUUUUAUUUUUCGAGAGUUUUCUAGAUUGCCUUUCUGGAGUUUUGUUUGAAUUUUGAACCUUUGGUUAAUUGCCGCUUAUUAAUCUCGGCUCGGUUAAUGGUCUCACAAACAAAAUUCUAAUUAAUGAAAUAUUUUUGAGCCUCUUUUGCUUGCAUUGUCUAGGCAUUCCAGCUACCCAAAACUAUAAUCAAUCAUAACCCAAGAUCCCAGAUCGCAGAUCCCAAAGACGCUGGAGUUUGAACUUUUAAGUGUGUUGACAAAUUUGUGAGUGGCCGGCAGAUUGACAGGGAAAUUGAGUAAUUAAUCAUCGGCUAUCAAACGAAUUCGCCGCCGAAAUGGCCUUCUAAAGGUCUGUUUGGCUAGCUGUCCACCAAAUCUUAUCAAGCGACGAUGCACGUCUAGGCCAUUAUUUAAAUGCUAAUGUUAAUUCACGAAAUCACGUUAGUCGGGAAUGCUGACAAAAUCUCACAAAUCAGGGGUGAGUUGAGCAAGUUGAUUCAGGUUUGCCUUUAUUUUUAGUCGCCGUAUCUCGCAUGCGAUUGAAAUGAAAUAUAUAAAAUUACAUUAAAUUACCGGAUGUAAUUGCGGUGGUCGUGCCAGUCGCCUCUCUCGACCUGGUCAAUGAAUCACGGCCCGGCGCACACGAAAUGCGUCGAAACAAAAGACUGUGGCAACGAACUCGAUUUCAAGCAUCGAGCACCGAGCACUUAUGCCCAAAUCAGGGAGAACAGCAACAACCCACACCGAAUAAGAAGCGUAGAUGGGCCCACACAAACGAAGUUGAGUGGUAUCUUAUCAGGGCUCUAACGAUUUUGUCAAAUGACAAUUUUACCGACCUCAUUGAAUGCCUCUUUUUCACGCCAUUCACUGACUUUUGAAUGCCCAUUUAGUUGUCAAUUAUUUUUGAUAGUCGCCGCCGAGGCAGCUGAUAAGAACCGAGACUUGUUUAACAAACGAAGAAGGGGAAAAAAGGGGGAUGGGGGGAGAGGGGAAAGAGGACCCAAUCCGAUCUUGGCUGUGGAUUCAACUACUGCCUCUCUCCGUUUUGGCCACAUUUGCAUAUUGAACGGCAGUUUGUCUUGAGCCUGAGCUUUUAGUUAUGGCCAAGCAUUAAAUUUAACUAUUAAGCCAUUUUCGGAGGCCAGUUUUUGUGGAGCUCGACUUUCCAAACAUUGUCCCCUGACAGUAGUUCCCUAUGGGAUUUUAUUUUUGCUGGAAUUUAUGAGCCGAAUAGACACAAAAGAUAGACACAAUGAUUAACAUGAAACGAAGAGGCAUGGGAACUACGGAUUGGCAAACAAAAAGGCUUAGAAAAAUCCAGUCAAUGUCCCAGUCAAAGUGAAAUGUUGAGAGUUUUAUUGGUGUUGAUGUCGAGAAAAUGGAAAAGGGAAUGGAAGAUCUAGUUUAGCAGUGGCAGCCAAAAAAAAACAAUUGCCAGAGCCGACAUCAUUUUAUCGUAAAAAUGCGAAUUACCCCCAGAUGAAAAUCAUUUCUUGCAACUCAAUCAAGAGGCAUGCAACUGAGGCUGCUGACCUAUAUAUGGUUAAUAAGAACCAACUUGCAUUGCUACAUUUGUAUGUAGGAAUGCUUGCAGCCAGACAGAUAUAUAUAUCCUCGUUACAUAUUCCCCAUAUUGAUAUCUCCGCCUCUUGCGCUGGGGUUCGUGCAACAAUUUUCGUCGAAAACAAUUUUGCACAACACGAAACGGCAGAGGGGAAAGAUCAGCAGCGGCAAAAUGCAUCAUAUGCCACGCACGUAGAAACCACACCAAACGAAACAGUAACAAUCAGACAAUCAUGCACAUAAUCAUGCCAUCAAUAUAUGGCAAUUAUCAAUGAAAUUUAUAACAAUCCACGAAAUGUAACGAAAACUUAACCGACCAAUAAAAAUUUUCUUCUUUUUUUCUUUUUGCAAAAAUGCGCUGCACUUCGUCAUCCUCGAUCUGCAGCAACAAAAAAAAAAAAAAAAAACAGACAGAAAACAGAAACAGCAACAGCAACAUGAUCAUGAUGUUUUAGCCCCGUUCGCUUCGCCUUGUGAUCUGCAUCAUAAAAACGUGCCAGAUUGAUGCGUGAUUGAAAUGCCAAUUGGUUUCCAGUUGGACUUGGUCGGUCGGUCGGUCGGCUCGUCUCUUUCUGAUUGGAGUGUGCGUGUGCUGUUACCGUUACCCACCCAAUCUGCAUUGUCAUCUUGGACAAUUAGAACAGGCCGAGAUCCCAAAGAUACAUUUGUUUGAUGCUACAUUGUUUACCUAAGAAAAGAAAAGUGGGAGGAAAGAGUCUUUUUCUCGCUAUCUGACUGACAGCAUUACCCCAAAGAUCCCAAAGAGAGAGAGUAAAAUCAAUCCGCUAGAUGGCUAGAUGGCUAGAUAAACAGUUAGAGCUGGGGAAAGGGGGCGGGGCCGGGUUUCCGUUGACCGCUUACCGUUGGGAGAGGUUUUGUCGCCAUGACCAUGACUUGUGGUGUCCGUAUGUGGGUCACACGCUCUGACGAGGGUUACCACGAUUUCUGGACGGGAUUCGUGGCCUAACGGAAGCGGGAGUCACAUUACCCACUUCAGUUCGAUUGUAUCUCUUUACCCUUUUGAUUUGGCCAUUGUGCAUUAUUCAAGCCAAAAUUAAUUGCACUUGAAUCUGUUUUGACAAGAUGUGGCCUUUACAAUCGACUUGUGAAAUAGGGUCAAUUCCAUUGCCUUUUUUAAUAGAGUUAAUUCAAAAAUGUAUAUAACAUAAAUUUGGUUUA